UACGUAGGGUGCGAGCGUUGUCCGGACUUCCUGUGCGUCCAGAGCUCGUCGGUGUUUUGUCGCGUUGUCCGUGAAAACUCACAACUCAAUUGUGGGCGUGCGGGCGAUACGGGCAGACUGGAGUACUGCAGGGGAGACUGGAAUUCCUGGUGUAGCGGUGGAAUGCGCAGAUAUCAGGAGGAACACCGGUGGCGAAGGCGGGUCUCUGGGCAGUAACUGACGCUGAGGAGCGAAAGCGUGGGGAGCGAACAGG
rnacentral:rRNA from 1 species